rnacentral:rRNA from 1 species
AUUGAACGCUGGCGGCAGGCUUAACACGUGCAAGUCGAGCGGGGGAGGUUGCUUCGGUAACUGACCUAGCGGCGGACGGGUGAGUAAUGCUUAGGAAUCUGCCUAUUAGUGGGGGACAACAUUCCGAAAGGGAUGCUAAUACCGCAUACGCCCUACGGGGGAAAGCAGGGGAUCUUCGGACCUUGCGCUAAUAGAUGAGCCUAAGUCGGAUUAGCUGGUUGGUGGGGUAAAGGCCUACCAAGGCGACGAUCUGUAGCGGGUCUGAGAGGAUGAUCCGCCACACUGGGACUGAGACACGGCCCAGACUCCUACGGGAGGCAGCAGUGGGGAAUAUUGGACAAUGGGCGGAAGCCUGAUCCAGCCAUGCCGCGUGUGUGAAGAAGGCCUUUUGGUUGUAAAGCACUUUAAGCGAGGAGGAGGCUCUUAAGGUUAAUACCCUUGAUGAGUGGACGUUACUCGCAGAAUAAGCACCGGCUAACUCUGUGCCAGCCGCCGCCGUAAAAC